AGCCCACUCAAUUAUCAAUUAUCAAAUCACCUCAUGGAUUCCCUUUUAAUUAAAUAAGUAAUUGAUUUAUUUUCAACUGAGUUCACCAAAUAAUAGGACAGAACUAAAAGGAAAGGAAACACAAGAAAGAAAAUUGUUAACAAAUACAUUUUCCUAAGUGAUUCUACAGUGAAGGAUUAGUUGUCACACGCUCAAGAGUCAAGAGCUACGUAUUUUGUACAUAUUCUCACCAAGAACAAUUUUUCAACUCGAGUCUACUCUGUGGUUCCUGGUUUGCAAUUGCAUUUUUCCUGCCUCAUUUGUUGCAUGCUCAAGAGUCAAGAGCUACGUAUUUUGUACAUAUUCUCACCAAGAACAAUUUUUCAACUCGAGUCUACUCUGUGGUUCCUGGUUUGCAAUUGCAUUUUUCCUGCCUCAUUUGUUGCAUGCUCAAGAGUCAAGAGCUACGUAUUUUGUACAUAUUCUCACCAAGAACAAUUUUUCAACUCGAGUCUACUCUGUGGUUCCUGGUUUGCAAUUGCAUUUUUCCUGCCUCAUUUGUUGGAGCAGAGGUGCAUCAAGCUUCUACAAGACUACAACAGUAAUUGGUCAUUUGCAACUUUGUGAAUAUUUUUACUGUUUUUUCAGAUGAAAUUUUAGACAUCUAUAUACAUCUGUUAUUAAGUGUUCAAUUGAUAUUUGAUACUGUUUUUUACUUUGUGUUAUUGAUCACAUUUAUUUUUCAAGUCAAUUGUAUUAUAAUUAGAUUACUGCAGUUUGUUCUUUCUAAUAAAAUACAUUGAAACCAAAUAAACAGAAUAGAGUUCACAUUUAAAAACUUGAAUUUAUUUCACUAAUAACCUGAUAAUCUUGUAAUCUUGUAAUCUUGUAAUCUUGUAAUCUUAAUAAACAAAAUAAUCUGAUAAUCUUGAUCACUGACACUGAGUAAUCUGAUAAUCUUGAUCACUGAAUAAUCUGAUACUACAGUUCACAUUUAAAAACUUGAAUUUAUUUCACUAAUAACCUGAUAAUCUUGUAAUCUUGAUCACUGAGUAAUCUGAUAAUCUUGAUCACUGAAUAAUCUGAUAAUACAGUUCACAUUUAAAAA